AUGGAUUCAUGUGCGCUACCGCACGGCCCUGGAUCCCACACGCCGCCGCUGCGCGAAAGGAUCCCCACACGCCGCCGCCUACCCAAAGCGCCUCCACUGGCCGACAGCUUGGUGCUCCACCAGUCCCAAUGCUGCAUCCAAGGUGGGCUGCUGGAUCUCGUCCCCUCCUCUGCGUGGAGCCCUGCUGGAGGCCCUCCUCCUCGACAGGAUGCCGUCCACCUAGGGCCAGUGGGAGAAAGCCGCCGUGGCUCACCGAUGCUCCGGUUGUAG
rnacentral:rRNA from 1 species